UUAGAGUUUCAGUUAGAGUUAGGAUUUCAGUUAGCCAGGAGUCAGGGACGUUGGUUAGUGAUGAGGUAGGACAGUUAGUCAGGAGUUAGGGAAAGAGUUAAGUAGUUUGAAGAAUUGGUGUGGAAAGAAACACUUGAAAAGAAAUGUAUAAGAGAACUGAAUGUAACUGUUAUAAAGUGAUUGAAACUAAAUACAAAGUAACCAGCAUAUUUCUAAGUUAAAUGAAGUUUAAUGAAUAUCAAAUACAAUACCACCUAGGAUUUCCUUGAUCUUUUAAUAUGUUAAUCUGUUAAUAAACAUGUUAAAUUUGACACGAUUGAUUCUGUGGUCCUAAUUGGUAAUUGAGGAAGGAUUUCCUCUGGUGGCAGCGAAAGUGGAGACAAGACAAAUUGUCAUGCCCGAAGGCAAAUCUAUUUGUUAGGGAGAACAUAUAGAGGAGCUGGGUGUGUGUGACAGGUGUGUUCAUAGAUCCGGUUCGGAAGAAAGACUCUCUUACCACAAUUUUGUGGAGAGCUGAUUUAAUUGUUUGAACCAAUGGUUCAACCAUUCUAUUUGAUUAAAGAUCUCCUUGACUAAAGUAACAAAAGAGGAACACACUUUUUAUUUGCUCCUCAGGCUGCAAUAUGGAUCUGAUGGCAUAGUUUCCAUCUUUCUCUCUUUUCUGCAAAGUUUCCAACUUGAGACCAAGACAAGAAUUACUCCGCAUUUGUGUAUAGUACACGUCAGCUUUCCCUGCUGUCUUCUGUUUGGGGAACGUUGCCCUAUUGGAUUGCUUACUUCCAUUAUCUCCCUUUGCCAUGAUGCCUGAGGAUGAUGGGGAUUGCUGCCAAACACAGUCCAUGCAUUGUCCAUGCUGCAUUUUCUCUUUCUAUGAGCUCGUUUCCUAGGAGGAUCCUUUGCUGAACCAU
rnacentral:lncRNA from 1 species